CAGUAGCCGCGGGAAUACGGAGGGUGCGAGCGUUAAUCGGAAUAACUGGGCGUAAAGGGCACGCAGGCGGUGACUUAAGUGAGGUGUGAAAGCCCCGGGCUUAACCUGGGAAUUGCAUUUCAUACUGGGUCGCUAGAGUACUUUAGGGAGGGGUAGAAUUCCACGUGUAGCGGUGAAAUGCGUAGAGAUGUGGAGGAAUACCGAAGGCGAAGGCAGCCCCUUGGGGAUGUACUGACGCUCAUGUGCGAAAGCGUGGGGAGCAAACAGGAUUAGAUACCCCCGUAGUCCCUGUCUCUUAUAC
rnacentral:rRNA from 1 species